rnacentral:rRNA from 1 species
AUAUUGGACAAUGGGGGCAACCCUGAUCCAGCCAUGCCGCGUGUGUGAAGAAGGCCUUUUGGUUGUAAAGCACUUUAAGCAGUGAAGAAGACCUUAUGGUUAAUACCCAUAAGCGAUGACAUUAGCUGCAGAAUAAGCACCGGCUAACUCUGUGCCAGCAGCCGCGGUAAUACAGAGGGUGCAAGCGUUAAUCGGAAUUACUGGGCGUAAAGCGAGCGUAGGUGGCUUAAUAAGUCAGAUGUGAAAUCCCCGGGCUUAACCUGGGAACUGCAUCUGAUACUGUUAGGCUAGAGUAGGUGAGAGGGAGGUAGAAUUUCAGGUGUAGCGGUGAAAUGCGUAGAGAUCUGAAGGAAUACCGAUGGCGAAGGCAGCCUCCUGGCAUCAUACUGACACUGAGGUUCGAAAGCGUGGGUAGCAAACGG